rnacentral:rRNA from 1 species
UACAGAGGUCCCAAGCGUUGUUCGGAUUCACUGGGCGUAAAGGGUGCGUAGGCGGUCGGGUAAGUCUGAUGUGAAAUCUCACAGCUUAACUGUGAAACUGCAUUGGAUACUAUCCGGCUCGAGGAAUGGAGGGGAGACUGGAAUACUUGGUGUAGCAGUGAAAUGCGUAGAUAUCAAGUGGAACACCAGUGGCGAAGGCGAGUCUCUGGACAUUUCCUGACGCUGAGGCACGAAAGCCAGGGAGCAAACGGG